rnacentral:rRNA from 1 species
UACGUAGGGGGCAAGCGUUAUCCGGAUUUACUGGGUGUAAAGGGAGCGUAGACGGCGAUGCAAGUCUGAAGUGAAAGGCGGGGGCCCAACCCCCGGACUGCUUUGGAAACUGUAUGGCUGGAGUGCAGGAGAGGUAAGUGGGAUUCCUAGUGUAGCGGUGAAAUGCGUAGAUAUUAGGAGGAACACCAGUGGCGAAGGCGGCUUGCUGGACGAUGACUGACGCUGAGGCUCGAAAGCGUGGGGAGCAAACAGG